rnacentral:rRNA from 1 species
UGGCCUACGGGACGCAGCAGUGGGGGAUAUUGCACAAUGGAGGGAACUCUGAUGCAGCGACGCCGCGUGAGGGAAGAAGGUUUUCGGAUUGUAAACCUCUGUCUUCGGUGACGAAACGAGACGGUAGCCGAGGAGGAAGCCACGGCUAACUACGUGCCAGCAGCCGCGGUAAUACGUAGGUGGCAAGCGUUGUCCGGAAUUACUGGGUGUAAAGGGAGCGUAGGCGGGGAUGCAAGUUGGGUGUCAAAACUACCGGCUCAACUGGUAGUCGCACUCAAAAC